CUCGACUGCGUGAAGUCGGAAUCGCUAGUAAUCGUGGAUCAGAAUGUCACGGUGAAUACGUUCCCGGGUCCUGUACACACCGCCCGUCACACCAUGGGAGUUGGGUUCACCCGAAGGCCGUGCGCCAACCUGCAAAGGGGGCAGCGGACCACGGUGAGCUCAGCGACUGGGGUGAAGUCGUAACAAGGUAGCCCUAGGGGAACCUGGGGCUGGAU
rnacentral:rRNA from 13 species